AUGAUCAGGGUUGCCAAGGAGUCAGGUCCCAAGGCGGGUCAAAGCUGGACCUGGGAAAGGCUACGAGGUCUGACCAGUGAGAUUGGAGCUCCAACCUUGUCAUCGCCUGAGCAAAGGCAGAUAGGAAAAUGCCAGGAAAGCAAGUCAGACCCCAGGCACACACCCCACAUUGUGUUCUCUGGUAAGCUGCCCCAGCUCCUUGUGAUAGCCACAGCCUCCAGAUACGAUGGGAACGCAUUCUGUGGUCACCGGGCGCCCUGGUUUCCGUAGCUGCACCUUCACUAGCAGGAGGACUCCAUACAAAGGGGGUCCCCACAGUCACAAAAGCAAGUGAAAGGAAACCCAUGCAUUUCUUAUUGGAAGCACAAGUUGGGACUUCCUCUCCUUGCUCUUCUCUCCAUGUGCAAGGUGUUGCCCACGGGAAUGCUCCAGCGGACACAUGCCCUGAGAAAAGCCCACCUUCUAUCGAGGCCCUCGGAAAUCUGGGAUUCCUCCUCAUUCAUUCAUUGAUUCAGUAAAUAACGGAACCUCUUCCAUGCACCAGGCUCUGCUCAGCGCAAUGAGGCGCGGCACGGAAUGAGACAGAUUAAGUCCCUGCCCUCGUGAAACUUAGGUUCCACCCGCAGAGUGGCGUGUAGCUCGAUGCCGGGGAGGGGCCGUGCUCUGAACAGAGUGUUUUCCUCAGCUGGGAGCUGUGAGCAAGGCAGACACGUGGGCCCUCACAGGCCUGUCCGUACAUAUGACAUCACCGUCAUGACAGCCAAGGACAAGGGAACCCGCCAGCGGUGUUCCCAGAUGGCUUUAGUGAGCUGGGUGCAGAGUGCUAACCAUCAAAAUGGUUCAACUUCCCCGUGUGCCUGAAGUAGAAAUGCUGUGUGCUCUAAUCAGCUCCAUGCUUUCACUAUGGGACCAGUGAAGCUGAGGAAUCGGGUUUGAAAUGGCGAGAUCUGGUAUUAUGUUUAUUAUAAUGUCUCCAGGGAUGGCAGAUCAAUUUCAUCUCACCGACUUCCAGCAAUUGACUGAAUCCCAGACAGCCUGUGUCAAGAAGAAAUGUGAUGCUAACUGCAGAUUUUGUGCAAGAGAGUUAGUGAGGCCCGCCCAGGGCCCAGGAGAAAGGAAGCGUGCACACAUGCAGUGUGCCCUGGCCCCAGCUCUAGACAGUCGGUCCCAACUCUGAGGCUGAACCCUCCACAGAUCUCAAAAUACUAGCAGAAUUGUGCAAACAAUUCUAUCCCUAAAACUAAUUAAAAUCUGUUUAUUAAACAAGGUG
rnacentral:lncRNA from 1 species